rnacentral:rRNA from 1 species
GAUGAACGUUAGCGGCAGACUUAAUACAUGCAAGGCGAAGGGGCAGCAAUGUCACUGUCGUACGGGUGCGUAACGCGUAUGCAACCCUACCUAUCACUGGGGGGAUAGCCCGGGGAAACCCGGAUUAAUACCGCAUAACACGGGGGCUCCUCAUGGAGAUUAUUUGUUAAAGAUUUAUCGGUGGUAGAUGGGCAUGCGUU